GACGAACGCUGGCGGCGUGCCUAAUACAUGCAAGUAGAACGCUGAAGGAGGGGCUUGCUUCUCUGGAUGAGUUGCGAACGGGUGAGUAACGCGUAGGUAACCUGCCUGGUAGCGGGGGAUAACUAUUGGAAACGAUAGCUAAUACCGCAUAACAGUAGAUAUCGCAUGAUAUCUACUUGAAAGGUGCAAUUGCAUCACUACCAGAUGGACCUGCGUUGUAUUAGCUAGUUGGUGAGGUAACGGCUCACCAAGGCGACGAUACAUAGCCGACCUGAGAGGGUGAUCGGCCACACUGGGACUGAGACACGGCCCAGACUCCUACGGGAGGCAGCAGUAGGGAAUCUUCGGCAAUGGACGGAAGUCUGACCGAGCAACGCCGCGUGAGUGAAGAAGGUUUUCGGAUCGUAAAGCUCUGUUGUAAGAGAAGAACGAGUGUGAGAGUGGAAAGUUCACACUGUGACGGUAUCUUACCAGAAAGGGACGGCUAACUACGUG
rnacentral:rRNA from 1 species